AUUAAGAUAAGAAGAUGAUAAAAGACCAUGCUUAAUUUUAACAUUUUUCUUUAUUCCCUCAUAGGUAUAUUUUUAUCACUGGAAAGCCCUUUGUGCUUUGGAAAUAAGAAGAUGGAACACAAUUGAUGAGAUAGCUCUUAAAAUUUUAGAAAUCUUUCUGUGGAAGUUUCUGUUUCUCUACUAACAAAGGGAAGACAGAGAACAACAUUUCCUAGACCUUUAUCAGAGGCAAUCCUGGCUGAAAAGAACACUAUUUUGCUCUGUGAAGAAAUGAACUUCUGGGGGGGGGGGAUAGGUUGACCCACAUUUCAAAAAACAGAGAAAUCCUGUUAACAUGGACUACAUCUCCAGCUGUGCUAAAAGGCACUUUGAAGACACAUCACUAAGUGGACAAGCCAAUAUGAAAGAGGCACCUCACCAAAGCCACAUCUACAUGAGUGCACUAAAUGCCUGACACGGAAACCAGCUGGCAUGGUGCAGCUUGUCCCUAGGCUGGCAAUUUGCUUUGCCAUGAUUACAUUUCCUCUGCACACUGUAUGGCACAGGCCCCAACAGGUGUUCUAGAACACCAAGUCAUCUGCAUAGAACUGCAGAUUGGACGCAUUUAUCUGGAGUAGAAAAGCUGGAGACCAGGAGACCAGGCAGGGUAUUCUAUCAAGUCUGAAAUUAUUCUAGAGACUGAUGUUUGAACAACUGAAGCCUACCUCCAUGUUUGCUCUGCAAUUUUUCCAUUGAAUUUGUAUGGAUGACUAUCUGUGAUUAUUGCAAUCCUUCAUUUCCUCCACAGGUGGGUAAAUAAUUGGUCUGGUAACAACACAUCCAUGUUUGUACUACCUUUCAGAGGUUUAAUUUACAAGAUUAAUAUAUA